UAUGUCAAUCGGCAAAUUCUCCCGACCAAAUUGAGCUCAUAUUUUUAAUUUACCCGACAUUGGACCAUUUUGUAUAUAUUAUUAUGUAAAAAGAAUUUUAUCAUUUAACCUAGCGUAAAGAAGAGAGUUGGACAGUCUUCUUCACCAUUUUCUUCUCUUUCUUCAAUUUUUAGAAUAAAGAGGUCGACGAUAGCGGCAAUCAAGAGGUCGACGGCGAAGUCAACAACAAAAGCCGAGUAUAGAAGCCGACAACAAAAUCAGCGAUGCCAUUGAAGAAUGAAUCCCAGCGGGAGCAAAAUUAUGUAGCAGAUAGCCUAGCCAAAUAUGCGGCACAACAACAAAAUGGAGGCAGCUUGGAGCUUUUUGCCAGUCCACCACCUUUUGUCAUGCAUCACUACCAAGCUGACUGCCUGGGAAUAGACUCUACAAGACUUGUAAAUGCCUGUGUUUUUUAAGCUACUACCCCUCCCCUUGUAAAUCCACUACAAGCAGUAGUAGUUCCUUAUAGUUCAACUAGUACUUUUGUGUAUACUACCCCCACUAGGGGAGUAGAACCUAGUAAUAUGUCUACUACUUGUAAUAGUGAUGUUAUCGGGGGUGCCUAAUGAACCCCCACCCUCUGUAUGUGUUAUCUAUAUAUAGAUCUCUCUUUUUAACCAAAAAAAAAUUGCUAUUU